rnacentral:rRNA from 1 species
UACGGAGGGGGCUAGCGUUGUUCGGAAUUACCGGGCGUAAAGCGCACGUAGGCGGCUUUGCAAGUUAGAGGUGAAAGCCCAGGGCUCAACCCUGGAAUUGCCUUUAAAACUGCAUCGCUAGAAUUGUGGAGAGGUAAGUGGAAUUCCGAGUGUAGAGGUGAAAUUCGUAGAUAUUCAGAAGAACACCAGUGGCGAAGGCGACUUACUGGACACAUAUUGACGCUGAGGUGCGAAAGCGUGGGGAGCAAACAGG